rnacentral:rRNA from 1 species
GACGAACGCUGGCGGCGUGCCUAAUACAUGCAAGUUGAGCGCUGAAGGUUGGUACUUGUACCAACUGGAUGAGCAGCGAACGGGUGAGUAACGCGUGGGGAAUCUGCCUUUGAGCGGGGGACAACAUUUGGAAACGAAUGCUAAUACCGCAUAAAAACUUUAAACACAAGUUUUAAGUGUGAAAGAUGCAAUUGCAUCACUCAAAGAUGAUCCCGCGUUGUAUUAGCUAGUUGGUGAGGUAAAGGCGCACCAAGGCGAUGAUACAUAGCCGACCUGAGAGGGUGAUCGGCCACAUUGGGACUGAGACACGGCCCAAACUCCUACGGGAGGCAGCAGUAGGGCAUCUUCGGCAAUGGACGAAAGUCUGACCGAGCAACGCCGCGUGAGUGAAGAAGGUUUUCGGAUCGUAAAACUCUGUUGGUAGAGAAGAACGUUGGUGAGAGUGGAAAGCUCAUCAAGUGACGGUAACUACCCAGAAAGGGACGGCUAACUACGUG